rnacentral:rRNA from 1 species
ACACAUGCAGUCGAGCGCGCAAGGAGCGGCAGACGGUGAGUAACGCGUGGGAAUCAACCCUUCUACGGAAUAACGCAGAACUUGUGCUAAUACCGUAUGACCUUCGAAAGAUAUCGGGAAAGGAUGAGCCCGCGUUGGAUUAGCUAGUUGGUGGGGUAAAGGCCUACCAAGGCGACGAUCCAUAGCUGGUCUGAGAGGAUGAUCAGCCACAUUGGGACUGAGACACGGCCCAAACUCCUACGGGAGGCAGCAGUGGGGAAUAUUGGACAAUGGGCGCAAGCCUGAUCCAGCCAUGCCGCGUGAGUGAUGAAGGCCCUAGGGUUGUAAAGCUCUUUCACCGGUGAAGAUAAUGACGGUAACCGGAGAAGAAGCCCCGGCUAACUUCGUGCCAGCAGCCGCGGUAAUACGAAGGGGGCUAGCGUUGUUCGGAAUUACUGGGCGUAAAGCGCACGUAGGCGGACAUUAAGUCAGGGGUGAAAUCCCGGGGCUCAACUCCGGAACUGCCUUUGAUACUGGGUGUCUAGAGUAUGGAAGAGGUGAGUGGAAUUCCGAGUGUAGAGGUGAAAUUCGUAGAUAUUCGGAGGAACACCAGUGGCGAAGGCGGCUCACUGGUCCAUUACUGACGCUGAGGUGCGAAAGCGUGGGAGCAAACAGGAUUAGAUACCCUGGUAGUCCACGCCGUAAACGAUGAAUGUUAGCCGUCGGGCAGUUACUGUUCGGUGGCGCAGCUAACGCAUUAAACAUUCCGCCUGGAGUACGGUCGCAAGAUUAAAACUCAAAGGAAUUGACGGGCCCGCACAAGCGGUGGAGCAUGUGGUUAAUUCGAAGCAACGCGCAGAACCUUACCAGCCCUUGACAUCCCGAUCGCGGAUUACAGAGAUGUCCUUCAGUUCGGCUGGAUCGAGACAGGUGCUGCAUGGCGUCGUCAGCUCGUGUCGUGAGAUG